rnacentral:lncRNA from 1 species
AAGAUUAGCAUUAUCUCCAAACAGACCGAAUGGAGCUUUCAUUUGAGCCUCUUCACCUAGGAGUACCAUCGGGAACUUCCACAAUGGUUUCUAAGCCUAUGGUGCACUGGGCGCAAAUCAUGCACCUAUCUUGCACCAAAACAAAUACUAUCUCCAACUAGACUGUGGCAGAACCUCCUGAAUUAAGUGGCCCACAUGCACCUAUCAUUGUCUCAAAGACUUCUGAUCGGCGUGCACGAGUUCCAAAUGACUCAAGAAGUCUGUCGGGUGUCCUCGGGAAACCCGAAUCAUCCACGUUUUAACUCAUACAGGAUCAACAUGGAGUUACCACAACAUUACAACAUUUGUUACAAAAAUAACUUACAUCAGAGUGCGGAAGAUUUAUAACUUAAUUUACAACAUAUGAUGAAGUAUAAACUUAACUAAAUUUCCAAAAGGUGUAUAGAGUAGCGGAAGCAUCUUAGGUGAAGCUUCUAAGGUAGAAGAGGUGGAUAAAUCAUGUCGCGCCCACCGACAUGACCUCCAUUAGCAGUCUAAGUCAGCACCUGCAACAGGGGUUAUAAAACCCUGAGUACAAAAGUACUCAACAAGACUUAACCGACUAGAAAAGAGGUGAAGACUCAGGUAUGCAGGCUAUAGGGAUUCAAGGUAAAGCUUUAUCAAGAUAAAGCAUUUAUUUUGCAUAAAAGCUUACUAAGAUUAAACCUACUUUCAAGUUUUAACUCAAGGUUAUCAUUUAUGACUAACCAAAACUAUUAUCAAACUUGCAUAAGCAUACCACAUCUUUCUUAUACCAAAGAUUCACUUGUUACUACGAUGAUGGUACGAGGAUUGAGGCUCCAUAUCCGAGGAAACACGGCGAUUCGAAUCGAUUAAACCCAGCUGGGGAUUCAGUACCACACGACAUAUGUAGAACUUAAUCUUGCAUAUGUCAACCUUUUCUAUAGAUCCUCCCAUACAAGAACGGGUCCAGCGUCACCCGAGAGUACAGUACACCACCAUCCUACAGCCAAUCUAGAUGUUUCCCGGUCAUCUCAGAUCCGUAAGGUGGGUACACGCUACUCUCGCCAUCUUUCCACUCCCAGUACGCGGUUAGCCGUUCUCAAGUAUCGGAAUAGCUAUAGGUAAGGCUUACCAGCGCAUGUGGGCUGUACUCAAAGGUCUCAAUCACAACAGGCCAAUCAACGGUACGGUCCUUAAUCGACUCAGUUGGAGACACUACUUUAAGACUCCAUUCUUAAAGCAAGUCCACCGACCGGUCUCAAGUUUAAACAUUAUUAACCAUAAAAGUAUUCCACAACGACCCUUCAAACGUUCUCAUUUGAAAACUUAUCUAAUAAGCAGGGCUAAGCAUACUAAGCAUUUUCAUAAAGCAGGUAUCAAGGUUAAUAUGGAAAUCAUCAAGGUAGAUAAUGCAGCAAAUAGGAUUCAUUCAACCCCUAUUCACCUAAUGCAUCAUAUUAACUCAAGUGAUAUAAAUAACUUUAUGAAAAUACAAGGAUAGGGUUUAAUGUCCGGGGCUUGCCUUGGCCGGAAGGGAAGUCCGACAACUCAGCAAAACCAGAUGGAUCCACAAACUCGGAAGCAACCCACUGAGGAUCAGAUUCCUCCGGAGCGUAGUCUACACGUAGAAGUGCAUAUGCAUGAUCAAUGAGAUGCUCAUGACAUGAUAAAGACAGGUUACAUGUUCUUGGAUGAUAACAACAAACAUAACUACCUCGAGUACAACUUACCUUCAUGGUAUAGAAACAAACUAAUCUAGCUAUCAAAGCAUAGAUUACUACUAAACAAAUUUUAUCAUCUUCAUUAAGCAAGGUUGUAUAGAUCUCAUGCCAAGUAACCACUAGUUGUCAAUCAAUCCCAAAGAUCAAUCAAAACCUAAAAUGAUUAGGCUUUCUAUUUAUCUUAAUCAAUUCUUAAUUAAAUAUUAAUGGUAAUAAUUAAGUAUUAACAUCAAACAAUAAUUAAGUGCCAAAGGUCAUUGAAAGAUAAUGACCUCAGGUCAUCACACAAUCCCAAAAGCACUCAAAUUCUAGUUUGGAAAUUAAGCAAUUCAUUAUUUAAGUAAAGGCUAGCUAAAAACAAACAACUCUAUUUGCACACAUAACCAGGACAGCAGCAUAUACACAACUUCAUUCAACCAUAAUUAGAGAUCCAAACAUCCAAUAAAGGUGAUAUUAGACUUUCUGGAAAGCUUAGAUAAUUUUCUACAACUUUGUUAUUAUCUUCGAGAACUGAUUUAAAAGAUAAAAUGGCCAAACAGCAUGAAUAAACAAUUCUGUCCAGACCUUGGACAGAAUCAGACAUUAAGCUUCAUACAUCUAUAACCAGAGUUCUAGAUCACCAAAAUUCAUGAUCCAUAACAUUUUGGAAAGCUUAUGAAAAUUACUACAAUUCAUCUUUUAUCAUGAAAGCAUAAUUCAUAAGUUUAAUAGGUUGAAAUUGCACAACUACAGAAACUGAUCCAGGAUUUGACAGAAAGAAACCAUUUCUGAAACUUAAAUUUAAACAGGCAUAACUCAGAAACUAUAGGGCCAAAUGCCACCAAAAUUUAACACCAGCUAGAUACAUGAAUUCUAUACAACUUUGUUAUAGACAAGUUUCACAUCCAACAUUAUCUUCCUAGAGCAAUUCAUAAGGUUCCAGAAACUGUCCAGAAAUCACUAAUAAUUUAAUUAUAGACAAAUAACAUUUCAUUUAUGUUCCAAACUUGGACCUAGGAAAAAAACUAGCUUACCAACAGUUGAAAUACAUCAAAGAAAUACUAGAAAACAUCAUGGCCAUCCCUAAAUAAAUUCCUUUCAUGUCUUUAUUAAUUUAUUUAGGUAAAUAGACAAAGUAAUAACCAUAUAUCAAAAGUACACAGUAAAUUCUGAGAAAACUACAGCAGCUCAUAUAUGCUCUCCAAAGUCUACUGUAUAAAUUUCAUGCCAUUUGAAUAAGUAUAGCAAUUUCCAUGAAAAAGAUAAAUUUCCAUCACAAGGAAGCAUGUAACAACAAGAUAAAUAAGAAACUCGACAUUUUCUACAAACACAUAGCUAAAUUAUGUAUUUGUAUGAUAUAAAGACCUCAUAUAAAGGCAGAGGAACCAUAUUUUACAUUUAUUUAUUUUUAGUUUAAUUUUAAACUAUUUAAUAAGCACUAAACAAGAUAAAUUAAUAACUUAACCAUAUAUCAUCUACUGAACAUGAAAUUUUUACUGCAACACUCACAUAACAUCAUGAGAACACCAUAAAAAUUUCAUGGAAAUAGGAGCUAUACAUAAUGAGAUAUGAAUUUCUCCUUUUUAAACAUAAUUAAAAGGCAUAAAUCAUAACCAAUUAUUUUACUACAAAACAUGGUCAGUUUCAUAUUUUUAAUAAAAACUAGACAUCUCAAGGAGCACAACAAAAUUUGGUCCACCAAAAUUGGAGCUACCAAACUCUAGAUAUGAAUUUUCAAACAUUCAACAAAACAUCUACAAACAAGUCCUUAUAGCACUAUUCACCUGAGUCACAGUCUGUGCAAUUAGACCCCUGGAGAACUUCCAAUUGUUGCGCGUGGUCCCUGGUCGCGAUUCCAGAUCAGAGGAUGUCGGAGAAAACCUGAUUUCCGGCCCGUGGACGCUUGUUGGCAGCGACGGAAAGCAUUGGGGAGCAUCCUGAGGCUCGCGCGCUCGCGCUGGUGUCAGCGGCUUGGCCGGAGAAGGUCUGUGGCCUCCUGGCCACGUGUGCAGGCGGCCAUGGCGGAGCUCUGUGAGCGGAAACUGGCUCACGGUUGAUCCCGACGAGGGGAGAGAGCACUAGCUGGCCUACCCGAUGCGCAAGGAUGCUGCGGAGCUGAAGAAGAGAUCAACUAGGCUUAGGUGUGAUGAGCGAGAUAAAUUCCGUCGGUGACCCAAGGUCACGGCGGCGGACAGAAAGAGGAGGAGCGAGGGUAAAGCUCUGGCUCCCUUUGGAUGAGGAUGCCUUCGACUCGUCCAUCUCAUGGUGACAGCAACCACGCAAGCAGCUGCGUGCCAGCCAUGCCCAUGGCAACGUGGGGAAGCAGGGGUGCCGGACA